rnacentral:rRNA from 1 species
CCCCUAGAUGUUCUGGGCUGCACGCGCGCUACACUGAUGCGUUCAACGAGUUUAUGACCUUGCCCGAUAGGGUUGGGUAAUCUUUUUAAAUCGCAUCGUGAUGGGGAUAGAUUAUUGCAAUUAUUAAUCUUCAACGAGGAAUUCCUAGUAAGCGCAAGUCAUCAACUUGCACUGAUUACGUCCCUGCCCUUUGUACACACCGCCCGUCGCUCCUACCGAUUGAAUGUUAAGGCGAACACUCUGGAAUCGUGGCCUUGAUUGGGCAACCUUUCUUGACCAAUGAUGAAGUUGUGUAAGCCUUGACAUUUAGAGGAAGGAAAAGUCGUAACA